UGAAGAUCUCUCAUCAUCUAGCUCUAAUAAGCAAGUGAGGAAUCAUAUCAAGAUGGACUCAAGCAUGAAAGGCUAACGGGUCAAGAGGAGGCAAGGAAGUGGAUACGGACACGGAUGCACAAGGUUGUACGAAUCACGGGCGGUUAUCACGAGCAAUAGAGAUCGAAGACCGAGUCAUAAGAUAGAUUGUACAGGGAUAAUUGAG